GAAAGCCCCGCAAGGGGCAAGUAGAGUGGCAAACGGGUGAGUAACACGUGGGUGAUCUGCCUCAGAGUGGGGGAUAACGACCCGAAAGGGUCGCUAAUACCGCAUAACAUCCUGCCUUUGGAUAGGUGGAGAUCAAAGCCGGGGAUCGCAAGACCUGGCGCUUGGAGAGGAGCCCGCGGCCGAUUAGCUAGUUGGUGAGGUAACGGCUCACCAAGGCAACGAUCGGUAUCCGGCCUGAGAGGGCGGACGGACACACUGGGACUGAGACACGGCCCAGACUCCUACGGGAGGCAGCAGUGGGGAAUUGUUCGCAAUGGGCGCAAGCCUGACGACGCAACGCCGCGUGGAGGACGAAGAUCUUCGGGUCGUAAACUCCUUUCGAUCGGGAAGAACGCCUGCGGGGUGAAUACCCUCGCAGGGUGACGGUACCGAGAGAAGAAGCCCCGGCUAACUCUGUGCCAGCAGCCGCGGUAAUACAGGGGGGGCAAGCGUUGUUCGGAAUUACUGGGCGUAAAGGGCUCGUAGGCGGCCAACUAAGUCACACGUGAAAUCCCCAGGCUUAACCUGGGAACUGCGUGUGAUACUGGAUGGCUUGAAUUUGGGAGAGGGAUGCAGAAUUCCAGGUGUAGCGGUGAAAUGCGUAGACAUCUGGAGGAAUACCGGUGGCGAAGGCGGCAUCCUGGACCAACAUUGACGCUGAGGAGCGAAAGCUAGGGGAGCAAACGGGAUUAGAUACCCCGGUAGUCCUAGCCCUAAACGAUGAAUGCUUGGUGUGGCGGGUAUCGAUCCCUGCCGUGCC
rnacentral:rRNA from 1 species